UGUUGCUGUCUGACGGGUGCUAUCAGGGACGGUCUCAGGGGGUUGCUCCCAGAGGGGUGCUUUCAGGGACAGUCUCAGGGGGUUGCUCCCAGAGGGGUGCUCUUAGGGGGUUGCUCUCAGGGGCCGCUGCCUGCGACCCACCCCCCGGAGCUGGGCUGCGAGGCAGAAAGAACGCUCCUAACUGGGAGAAAACUCCCAGAGGCUGAUGGCUUCCCAGGCUGGUAGCCAGGGGGUCGGCCUAGCCACCAGCCCCCAGCCCCCAUCAAUGGUAAGGAAACCCCGACAUGGCCACAUGCCCCUCUGUUGGCAGCCAUGAUGCCCCCACUCCGUGCCAGGUCUUCUCUCUCUGGAGAUGUCCCUCUUUACUCCAGCACUGCGGAGGGGCUGCGGUUGCAGGAUGGGCCUGUCAAGACCCAUCAGUGAGCCGUGGUAGACAUCAGCCUCAGACAGAGGGAUUGCCAGUGAUGGCUUGUCUCCCAGAUGCCCGCAGCUCAUUGCUUGCUAGCUUCAGCUCCCCCCUUCCAGGUUCAGCCAUCCAGGGCUCAAUCCCUGCUGAGUCUGGGCUUUUCUAGCACCCUCCCUUACUGAAGCUGGGUACCUGCAGCCUGCUGAGCACAGCUCAUUUCUCCGUAUCUCUGCUUCCAUGACUUCUACUUACUCCCCAGCUCCUUCAGCUAUUGCUUCUUCCUCUGAAUCAGUGUUUCACUCACUGCCUCUUUAGGUCUUCCAGUGGUCACUGAAGCCUGCUGCUGCCAAGGUCCUUUGCAGCAUCUUUGCUUAAUGCCAGCUUAACUAUGGUUUACCAUAGCCCAAACUCCUGCCCUCCUGCUUAUCCAGUGCAGGGACUUGCUGGCAAUUCUCCUUUCUUUCAGGGAAGCAACUGGUGUUUGGGGAGCUGAAUCAGGUGCCAAUUACUGCAGGGUCUCUUGCUGGUUUAACUGUGGGAGCUCCCACCAAGGGCUGUGAGAUCUGCCCUUCAAGGCUCCUGUCUACGUUAUCUGCAGGGAGAGCUUGAGCCUAGCAUAGGGUGGUGGGGGUUGCUCCUGGAGGCUGAUAAAACCUGUCCAGUCCAGACCAUGGUGGGGCCAGAAUGGGGCUCUGAGGGUGCAGUGGGGAAGGAAAAUGGGAAGGGAGGGCGACAUUGGAUGCACCAGUGCCCAGGACAGCAGGCUGGGGCUGACACCUCAUCUCUGAGCCUGUGAUACGUCUGCAUUCGGGGACCUUCCCUGCUCCUCUGCAGCACAGCACCCGUGUCGUGCAGCCUGGAGCACAGUAUCUGUGCCAUGCUAAUUGCUGUAUUUAGCACCAUAGGAUCACAGAACAUGAGGGUGGGAAGGUCCCAUCAAAUCCAACCCCUUGCUCAAAGCAGGACCAGCCCCAACUAAAUCAUCCCAGCCUUGGUUUUGUCUCCCCAGGUCUUCAAAACCUCCAAGGAUGGAGAUGCCACCACCUCUCUGGGUAGCCUGUUCCAGUGCUUCACCACCCUCCCGGUCUGGAGCCUGGACUGCGACCGGCAACGCCAGGAGAUUUGGCUUCUCACGUCCCUUUCCCACGUGCACUGGUGCCUCGCCGCUCCCCGGGAGCCCUCGUGGUGGAAGAACCCUGCUUGUUUGUGGGGCAGGCGGCCAAGACUGCUCCAAGGGAGGCUGCUGGCUCAGGCGCGGCUGGGAGGAGGCCCCUGGAAACGCUCCUAAUGGAAAACACUCCUGGCUGCAUCGCAGUGUGCAUGUCUCUCGCUGUGAGCCGGCCCGUACGCCGUCUGCUGGGAUGUGCAAGAAGUCGCUGCAGUGUACGGGCAUGCCCACAUGCAAAUCAGAAAGCAAUUAAAAGCAGGUAGCAAGAAGGAAGAA